UACGUAGGGGGCUAGCGUUGUCCGGAUUUAUUGGGCGUAAAGAGCGUGUAGGCGGCCAGGUAGGUCGGUUGUGAAAACUGGAGGCUCAACCUUCAGACGUCGACCCAAACCCCCUGACUAGAGUCCGGAAGAGGAGAGUGGAAUUCCUGGUGUAGCGGUGAAAUGCGCAGAUAUCAGGAAGAACACCCGUGGCGAAGGCGGCUCUCUGGGACGGUACUGACGCUGAGACGCGAAAGCGUGGGGAGCGAACAGG
rnacentral:rRNA from 1 species